rnacentral:lncRNA from 1 species
GCUGAUCCCCGCUGAGUAUGUUUGCUAUCAACGCAACCCGGUGUGUAGAGUACUGUAUUUGUUAGUAGCUGCAGUAUGAUUAAAAAAUGCAUUGUGCUUUAGACUAAUGGUGAAUAAGCAAAAAUGCUUGUCAAUUCGGAUGUAAUAUUGGUAUAUUUACCGUAAAUGGCGUAUUUGUGUUUUUUUUUUCUCCAACACAAUGUCUGGAGUCCCAGUGUUGGAUACGCUCUUCCUACUUAUGUCCUUGAGCGAGACACUGAGCCUUCACUUCCAGUGUGUUUUCCUGCUCCCUCAGGUCACACAAGGAAGCAGGGACAGAGAAUGUGGGCAUAUGAGAGAAGGAAAGGAAAUGAAGGAGAACACACGAGGAAACCGACACAAAGCCACAGUGAGAAGUAGGGAGACGAUGGGGAGGUGCCACGUCAUGCCUGAAGCUCCAGAGCAUUCACAGUCUCGCUCAAGGAUGCUUCAACCAGGACCUACGCCCGCUGUCAAGUGGCUUGAACCCAGGUCUUCCAGACGAAGGUCGCUCCACUUAAUCACUGCCUCUGCAGAAUGGGAGCGUCAUGAUAUAUGUAACCAGACCACUGACAGGAAGCAGCCCAGUAUCAGUUCCCCUAAUGCAUCUUUCAAGAUUUUGUACAGGAUCCAUGAUAGUCCGGCUGUCAAGAUGUCCAAAUCGGCUGUUAGGACCAGUGUUGUAGGAGAGAUGAGGAGAGAGCACACAAGCGUUUCCUGUGGGUGGUGA